rnacentral:rRNA from 1 species
GAGGGGUUUGAUCCUGGCUCAGGAUGAACGCUAGCUACAGGCUUAACACAUGCAAGUCGAGGGGCAGCAUGUUGGUUGCUUGCAACCAAUGAUGGCGACCGGCGCACGGGUGAGUAACGCGUAUCCAACCUACCCAAUACUCAGGCAUAACCCGUUGAAAGACGGACUAAUUCCUGAUGGUAUGUAUUUUUCUCAUGAAUUAUACAUUAAAGAAUUUCGGUAUUGGAUGGGGAUGCGUCUGAUUAGUUUGUUGGUGAGGUAACGGCUCACCAAGACUUCGAUCAGUAGGGGUUCUGAGAGGAAGGUCCCCCACAUUGGAACUGAGACACGGUCCAAACUCCUACGGGAGGCAGCAGUGAGGAAUAUUGGUCAAUGGAUGGAAAUCUGAACCAGCCAAGUAGCGUGCAGGAUGACGGCCCUAUGGGUUGUAAACUGCUUUUAUGUGAGAAUAAAGUUAGGUAUGUAUACUUAUUUGCAUGUAUCACAUGAAUAAGGACCGGCUAAUUCCGUGCCAGCAGCCGCGGUAAUACGGAAGGUCCAGGCGUUAUCCGGAUUUAUUGGGUUUAAAGGGUGCGUAGGCCGUUUGAUAAGCGUGCUGUGAAAUAUAGUGGCUCAACCUCUAUCGUGCAGCGCGAACUGUUGAACUUGAGUGCGUAGUAGGUAGGCGGAAUUCGUGGUGUAGCGGUGAAAUGCUUAGAUAUCACGAAGAACUCCGAUUGCGAAGGCAGCUUACCGUAACGUUACUGACGCUUAAGCACGAAGGUGCGGGUAUCGAACAGGAUUAGAUACCCUGGUAGUCCGCACAGUAAACGAUGGAUGCUCGCUGUUGGCCUUUGUGGUCAGUGGCUUAGCGAAAGCGUUAAGCAUCCCACCUGGGGAGUACGCCGGCAACGGUGAAACUCAAAGGAAUUGACGGC